AUACAGAACAUGUUUUUUUUUUUAUUUAUUUUUGUUUUUUUUUUGAGAGAUAGGUAGCACGCUACGUACCCGCUUCGUUUAUUUUAUUUACAAAUAAACUUAGCUGGAAAUAUGAAUCAACUAGGAUUCGAACUUGGGUAUCGGGUACCAACCACCAAGUCCUUUGCCACUUGCUCUAGGGAUGGUCGGUCAGAACAUGUUAUUAUUUUUCAUCAGAAAGAGCUUUCAAUUUACAGUGCGAAAUU
rnacentral:lncRNA from 1 species